rnacentral:rRNA from 1 species
UCAAGCUACAAAGAGCACAAGGGGAAUGCCUUGGCACCGAGAGCCGAAGAAGGACGUGACUAACUGCGAUAAGCUGCGGGGAGCCGUAAGUAGGCUUUGAUCCGCAGAUUUCCGAAUGGAGCAAUCCGGCAAGAGGAAAGUCUUGUCAUCAUAUACUGAAUACAUAGGUAUAUGAGGGGAACCGCCUGAACUGAAACAUCUAAGUAGGGCGAGGAAGAGAAAUCAACUGAGAUUCCGUAAGUAGUGGCGAGCGAACGCGGAAGAGGCCAAACCGAGAGUAGUAAUACUUUCGGGGUUCGGACAGAAAACGGUAUUGUAAAGGUUUAGUGGAAUGGAAUGGGAAGUCCAACCGAAGAAGGUGAGAGUCCUGUACACGAAAAGCCUGAACAGCCAUCUGUAUCCAGAGUACCGCCGGACACGUGAAACCCGGUGGGAAUACGGGGGGACCAUCCUCCAAGCCUAAAUACUACUCGGUGACCGAUAGUGAAGAAGUACUGUGAAGGAAAGGUGAAAAGUACCCCUGACGGGGAGUGAAAAAGAACCUGAAACCUUGUGUUUACAAGCACCGAAAGCUCAUCAAAGAGCGAUCGGGUACCUUUUGUAGAAUGGUCCGGCGAGUGAAUGUAACCGGCGAGGUUAAGCACUUAAGGUGUGAAGCCGCAGCGAGAGCAAGUCUGAAUAGGGCGUAUGAAGUCGGUUGUAUUCGACCCGAAACCGGGUGACCUACCCAUGGUCAGGUUGAAGUAAAGGUAAAACUUUAUGGAGGACCGAACCGACUCCCGUUGAAAUGGUAGCGGAUGAACUGUGGGUAGCGGAGAAAUUCCAAUCGAACCCGGAGAUAGCUGGUUCUCUCCGAAAUAGCUUUAGGGCUAGCCUUGAAAUAGAUUACCGGAGGUAAAGCACUGAAUUGGCUAGGGGCCGAGAGGUUACUGAACCUUAUCAAACUAAGAAUGCCGGAUAAUCGUUUUUCAGGAGUCAGACAGUGGGAGAUAAGUUUCAUUGUCAAAAGGGAAACAGCCCAGACCCACAGCUAAGGUCCCCAAGUAUAGUUAAGUGGAAAAGGAUGUGGAAUUGCACAGACAACCAGGAUGUUGGCUUAGAAGCAGCCACUCAUUAAAAGAGUGCGUAAUAGCUCACUGGUCGAGUGACUCUGCGCCGAAAAUUUAACGGGGCUAAACUAUACACCGAAGCUUGGGAUACAUCUAAUGUAUGGUAGGAGAGCGUUCUGUAUGGGGAGAAGUCGUAGCGAAAGCGGCGGUGGACUAUACAGAAGUGAGAAUGCCGGAAUAAGUAGCGAGAAUUAAGUGAGAAUCUUAAUGGCCGAAAGUCUAAGGUUUUUGGAGGAAGGUUCGUCCGCUCCAAGUAAGUCGGGAGCUAAGGUCAGGCCGAAAGGCGUAGCCGAUGCACAUACGGUUGAUAUUCCGUAACCAUCUGUAAUUUAAGCAAAGGGACACUUCAAAAGGGUGUGACCCGGGCGUUGGUUGACCCGGGCGUAAGGGACCGAAAUUAGAGUAGGGAAGCACACUUGGCUGAAGGCGAGAAAAGCUUUGCGUAUAGAAACAGAUGCCCGUACCGCAAACCGACACAGGUGGACAGGAAGAGAAUUCUAAGGCCAGCGGGAGAAGGGUAGUUAAGGAACUCGGCAAAUUGACUCCGUAACUUCGGAAUAAGGAGUGCUCGAAAGAGCCGCAGAGAAUAGGCCCAGGCGACUGUUUAGCAAAAACACAGGUCUCUGCCAAAUCGAAAGAUGAAGUAUAGGGGCUGACACCUGCCCGGUGCCGGAAGGUUAAGAGGAGGAGUGAGAGCUCCGAAUUGAAGCCCCGGUAAACGGCGGCCGUAACUAUAACGGUCCUAAGGUAGCGAAAUUCCUUGUCGGGUAAGUUCCG